rnacentral:rRNA from 1 species
UUGCCCCAGUAACGGCGAGUGAAGCGGCAACAGCUCAAAUUUGAAAUCUGGCCCCCGGGUCCGAGUUGUAAUUUGCAGAGGAUGCUUCGGGCGAGGUGCCUUCCGAGUUCCCUGGAACGGGACGCCACAGAGGGUGAGAGCCCCGUCUGGUCGGACACCGAGCCCGUGUGAAGCUCCUUCGAAGAGUCGAGUAGUUUGGGAAUGCUGCUCAAAAUGGGAGGUAUAUGUCUUCUAAAGCUAAAUAUUGGCCAGAGACCGAUAGCGCACAAGUAGAGUGAUCGAAAGAUGAAAAGCACUUUGAAAAGAGGGUUAAAAAGUACGUGAAAUUGUUGAAAGGGAAGCGCCCAUGACCAGACUUGGGCCCGGUGAAUCACCCGGCGUUCUCGCCGGUGCACUUUGCCGGGCACAGGCCAGCAUCAGUUUGGCGCGGGGGACAAAGGCUUCGGGAACGUGGCUCCCUCGGGAGUGUUAUAGCCCGCUGCGUAAUACCCUGCGCCGGACUGAGGUACGCGCAUCGCAAGGAUGCUGGCGUAAUGGUCAUCAGCGACCCGUCUUGAAACACGGACCAAGGAGUCGUCUUCGUAUGCGAGUGUUCGGGUGUCAAACCCCUACGCGGAAUGAAAGUGAACGCAGGUGAGAGCUUCGGCGCAUCAUCGACCGAUCCUGAUGUUCUCGGAUGGAUUUGAGUAAGAGCAUACGGGGCCGGACCCGAAAGAAGGUGAACUAUGCCUGUAUAGGGUGAAGCCAGAGGAAACUCUGGUGGAAGCUCGCAGCGGUUCUGACGUGCGAAUCGAUCGUCAAAUAUGGGCAUGGGGGCGAAAGACUAAUC